AUCCAACUGACGAGUCCCAAGUAGGACGAAACGCGCGUGCUGGAU
rnacentral:hammerhead_ribozyme from 1 species